rnacentral:lncRNA from 1 species
AAGCUCUAUGUUAAGAAACCAAGGAUGUAGUGCGCACUUCCCCUGUCAGUCUCUUUAGCAGUAAGUGGUUCUUCGAUGUUUGGCUGUGCUGGAACAGGAAAAUCCUCCUGUUAGCCGUGAUGUUCGGGUUUGCAGAGAACUGUAUAAAUGAGGACUGUGUGCAGGAGAGCCUGUUUCAGUUCGACGACCCCGUGGUUCACUCGACCGACAUUUUCCUUGUCGGCUCUCCUGAAAAAUGAAGUAAGGGAGGGUGAGACGAAAAAACAGAGAGCUCGAACAGGAAGCAGAGCGUGUUUCUGCUCAGUCUCAGAGGUGAAGCCUUGAAGCUGUGUGGUUUAGUGAAAUGCUGCCCUCUGCUGCUCACAGGAGGAAACACAGCCUGCAGCUCCAAACAAACAAGCCUCUGCUGCUGAGCCUGUUGUUCUGCAGUUUCACCAUCAACCACUAGGUGGCACUGAUGUUUCUCUCUGUGAGUCGAUCCAGCUGCCCCGACAUGAACUCAUGUCUCCUUUUCCAGAUCAGUUUCCACACAGUGGGAAAAGGCCAUGGAGUGAAGGAAAGGAUGGACUACAGAAGCCGGUCUUACGAUCAUCCCAGCGUGUUCUGUCGUUUCCUGCAGGGAAAUAUAACAUUUCACUCAAAUGCGAGAAUUCAAACAGCUUUAUUGUGACUGCAGAUACUCCGGGGUCAGUGCAGAAAAACAGUGACAGAAGAAGAAGCAGCCAGAACUGUGUAGGAGGCCAAUCACAGCUCGGGGGACACUUGGGGACAUUUUUAUUAUUAUUGUGAAAACUAAUUAAAAAUACUAUAAAUGCUUUAAAUGAACUAUAAAAUAAAUAAAAAAUGAACGGUGGAGGGGAAAAAAGUUGUUUUCAUGACAAAAUUCAUGCAAAAAAGUUACAUUAAUAUAUUUUAAAAUAACAAUAUUUACAGCAAAUAUUUGAAAAAUGUUUGUUAAUGAGCACUGAAAUGUUUUUUUUUUUGACUAACAGAGAUUAAUGUAUAAAAGAGUUCAGUGAGCUUUGAGGCUGAAAUCAUCCCACACACUGUUUCUUUUUUUGGUCUUUGGUGACGUCAGAAGCUCUCAGACGAGAGCCAACAAAGCGGUUUGAGGGGAAACGUCUCGAGGAUGCCGCCGCGCUCACGUGUCUGCCAUGAAUAUGAAUCUGAAGCCUGCCAGCUUCAUUUAGUGCCUUCUUCAAACUGCUACUAAAAUUUAGCCUAGCAUUACUUUGGCAGGAAGUGAUGUCACUAUUAAGAGUCUGACAGAUGGCGAGCUGCAGUCUGGAGUCACUCUGAGCGUCGAACAUCAGAACAGGACAAGAAAUCCAACUUUUUAAUAAACAAGCAUGUGACAUCCAGCUGUGGUGAUUUGGACACGAUGUUGAUGAUGGCGGUCAUGGAGAUAGACUUCCUGAGUGGACAGAUCGAUGGCGUCUCUCGUGUUUCAGAGGGAGUAAAGCUUCAGCUGCUCCUCUAUGUCGGCCUCCGUCACCUCCUGGUUCGCCUUCAGCAGCUGGAAGAUGGCUGCCAGCUGCUCCUGUUGUACCCUGGGAUGUCAACACACACACACACACACACACACAUACAGUUAACAGUUUAGCCUCCGGGAUCGUUUUUAUUGUUGAUCCUCGCUCAGGUGUUUUCAGAUUGUGGAUUUGGAUGUUCACCGAAUUAAUUCAUAUAAAUGAACCAGAUUAUUGCAAACAGCUAACAGUCUCACCAUCUGUAAUGUGUUGAUAUGAGCCUUACAUAGCUCUGCCUGCAGCUAGCAACCAGGUAGCACAUCAUUAGACAGAACUGCACUGAAGCCUUCAGCCAACGAGCUUGACAAUGAAUGUUUGGUGUGAGCACCUUCAUCCUUCAGCUCUCUGAGGAUCUCUUCUCCAGGCUUCUUGAAGGACGUUCAGAGCUCUUCUUUGGAUGUUUCUGCCUCAGGAUGUCCCCACACUGCUUCAGGGAUGCUCCACUGUGUGUUGGCAUGCUUUCACUGCACUGGCAGUGUGUUUGGGAUCAUUGUCAGGCUGAAAAAUGAGGCUGCCAAUCAGAAUCUUCCAGAUGUUACUGCAUGUGGAUCAAAAUCUGAUUUUCUUCAUUAAUCAGCAGUUUUAACUCCAACACACAUCCAGCUAAAUGAAACCAGUCCAAAUACUCUAGCACUGCAAAUGUCUCUGAAAGUGUUUCCACUGAGGAAUCCCGGCAGUGGCUGUAAGCUGACGGUGCUGAACCAUCUACAAUUGAUUCACGAGUGCUUUUUGUCAUCACGUUUCUUGUCUUUACUUCUCUCUCAUUAUUUCGUCUGCCCCUCGUCUGUGUUAGGUCUUCAGCCUGAG